rnacentral:misc_RNA from 1 species
GAAAUGCGAUACUUGGUGUGAAUUGCAGAAUCCCGCGAAUCAUCGAGUUUUUGAACGCAAGUUGCGCCCGAAGCCAUUCGGCCGAGGGCACGUCUGCCUGGGUGUCACGCAUCGUUGCCCCCCCAAACUCCGGUUCGGGCGGGGCGGAAGUUGGCCUCCCGUGCGCGCCUGCGCGCGCGGUUAGCCCAAAAGCGAGUCCUCGGCGACGAGCGCCACGACAAUCGGUGGUUUUUCGACCCUCGUUCCACGUCGUGCGCGCCCCGUCGCCCGAACUCUUGCGACCCUUACGCGUUGCCUCGGCGACGCUCCCAACGCGACCCCAGGUCAGGCGGGACUACCCGCUGAGGUUAAGC